rnacentral:rRNA from 1 species
GUGGGUAUGUUAAUAGCAUACUCAUUUGACGUUUAGCUGCAGAAGAAGCACCGGCUAACUCCGUGCCAGCAGCCGCGGUAAUACGGAGGGUGCGAGCGUUAAUCGGAAUUACUGGGCGUAAAGCGCAUGCAGGUGGUUUGUUAAGUCAGAUGUGAAAGCCCGGGGCUCAACCUCGGAAUUGCAUUUGAAAACUGGCAAACUAGAGUACUGUAGAGGGGGUAGAAUUUCUAGGUGUAGCGGUGAAAUGCGUAGAGAUCUGAAGGAAUACCGGUGGCGAAGGCGGCCCCCUGGACAGAUACUGACACUCAGAUGCGAAAGCGUGGGGAGCAAACAGGAUUAGAUACCCUGGUAG